rnacentral:misc_RNA from 1 species
AAAAAAAAAAAUUGGUCACAAAAUGGCCCAAUACCCCAAGUACAGCCAGCAAGCUAAUGGACUAGGCAGCCAGCAGCCUAGUCCAUGGAAUCACUAACCAAAAAAAUAACAAAUCCAAUUGAAGGACCAUGAAAAAAUACGCAGAACAAAAGCCAAGCUAAGAAUUGAAAGUUGAAGUUUCACUCAAGUGCGGUAUUCAAAUGGCAAAAAUAAAGACUGAAUAUACGCUAGGAUGACAGAUAAUGCUUUCUCCUAAAUCUCUACAGUGGAGGAAGACGUAAUGCAAGUUUUGCAGCACCAAAUGAUUUUAAUAUUUGAAAUAAGUUCAUCAUGAAGGCUCAAUCCAGAAUUAGUUAGACACUUACUUUUAUUGAAUUU